rnacentral:rRNA from 1 species
AUUGAACGCUGGCGGCAGGCUUAACACAUGCAAGUCGAGCGGGGUGAUGGUGCUUGCACUAUCACUUAGCGGCGGACGGGUGAGUAAUGCUUAGGAAUCUGCCUAUUAGUGGGGGACAACAUCUCGAAAGGGAUGCUAAUACCGCAUACGUCCUACGGGAGAAAGCAGGGGAUCACUUGUGACCUUGCGCUAAUAGAUGAGCCUAAGUCGGAUUAGCUAGUUGGUGGGGUAAAGGCCUACCAAGGCGACGAUCUGUAGCGGGUCUGAGAGGAUGAUCCGCCACACUGGGACUGAGACACGGCCCAGACUCCUACGGGAGGCAGCAGUGGGGAAUAUUGGACAAUGGGGGGAACCCUGAUCCAGCCAUGCGGCGUGUGUGAAGAAGGCCUUAUGGUUGUAAAGCACUUUAAGCGAGGAGGAGGCUCUUUUGGUUAAUACCCAAGAUGAGUGGACGUUACUCGCGGAAUAAGCACCGGCUAACUCUGUGCCAGCCGCCGCAGUAA